rnacentral:rRNA from 1 species
AUUGAACGCUGGCGGCAGGCUUAACACAUGCAAGUCGAGCGAGCGGCGGACGGGUGAGUAAUGUCUGGGAAACUGCCUGAUGGAGGGGGAUAACUACUGGAAACGGUAGCUAAUACCGCAUACCAUCAGAUGGGCCCAGAUGGGAUUAGCUAGGAGGUGGGGUAAUGGCUCACCGAGGCGACGAUCCCUAGCUGGUCUGGGGGGAGGACCAGCCACGAUGGAACUGAGACACGGCCCAGACUCCUACGGGAGGCAGCAGUGGGGGAGAUUGCACAAUGGGCGAAAGCCUGAUGCAGCGACGCCGCGUGGGGGAUGAAGGCUUUCGGGUUGUAAACCUCUUGCGCUAUCGAACGGGUAGGUGGAGAAGAAGCGCCGGCUAACUACGUGCCAGCAGCCGCGGUAAUAC